rnacentral:tRNA from 1 species
GCGCUCGUGGUGGAACUGGUAGACACGCAGGAUUUAGGUUCCUGUGCCUUGUGGGUGUGCGGGUUCGAGUCCCGCCGAGCGCA